UGAGGAAUAUUGGUCAAUGGGCGGAAGCCUGAACCAGCCAAGUCGCGUGAAGGAUGAAGGUAUUAUGUAUUGUAAACUUCUUUAGCAGUGGAGAAAUAAGGGAGUCGAGACUCCCGAUGCUAGUACACUGAGAAUAAGGAUCGGCUAACUCCGUGCCAGCAGCCGCGGUAAUACGGAGGAUCCGAGCGUUAUCCGGAUUUAUUGGGUUUAAAGGGUGCGCAGGCGGCCUUGCAAGUCAGCGGUCAAAUCGUGGAGCUCAACUCCAUUCCGCCGUUGAUACUGCCGGGCUUGAUUGCGGUUGAGGUUUGCGGAAUUCGUCGUGUAGCGGUGAAAUGCAUAGAUAUGACGAAGAACCCCGAUUGCGUAGGCAGCAGACCAAGCCGUAAAUGACGCUCAUGCACGAAAGUGCGGGGAUCGAACAGG
rnacentral:rRNA from 1 species